rnacentral:rRNA from 1 species
CCUACGGGAGGCUGCAGUGGGGGAUAUUGCACAAUGGGGGAAACCCUGAUGCAGCGACGCCGCGUGAGUGAAGAAGUAUUUCGGUAUGUAAAGCUCUAUCAGCAGGGAAGAAAAUGACAGUACCUGACCAAGAAGCCCCGGCUAACUACGUGCCAGCAGCCGCGGUAAUACGUAGGGGGCAAGCGUUAUCCGGAUUUACUGGGUGUAAAGGGGGCGUAGACGGUUAUGUAAGUCUGGAGUGAAAGCCCGGGGCCCAACCCCGGGACUGCUUUGGAAACGGUGUAACUGGAGUACAGGAGGGGCAGGCGGAAUUCCUGGUGUAGCGGUGAAAUGCGGAGAUAUCAGGAGGAACACCGGCGGCGAAGGCGGCCUGCUGGACUGAAACUGACGUUGAGGCUCGAAAGCGUGGGGAGCAAACAGGAUUAGAUACCCGGGUAGUC